rnacentral:rRNA from 1 species
GUAGUCAUAUGCUUGUCUCAAAGAUUAAGCCAUGCAUGUCUAAGUAUAAGCAAUUAUACCGCGAAACUGCGAAUGGCUCAUUAAAUCAGUUAUCGUUUAUUUGAUAGUACCUUACUACAUGGAUAACCGUGGUAAUUCUAGAGCUAAUACAUGCUAAAAACCUCGACUUCGGAAGGGGUGUAUUUAUUAGAUAAAAAACCAAUGCCCUUCGGGGCUCCUUGGUGAUUCAUAAUAACUUAACGAAUCGCAUGGCCUUGUGCCGGCGAUGGUUCAUUCAAAUUUCUGCCCUAUCAACUUUCGAUGGUAAGGUAUUGGCUUACCAUGGUUUCAACGGGUAACGGGGAAUUAGGGUUCUAUUCCGGAGAGGGAGCCUGAGAAACGGCUACCACAUCCAAGGAAGGCAGCAGGCGCGCAAAUUACCCAAUCCCGACACGGGGAGGUAGUGACAAUAAAUACUGAUACAGGGCUCUUUUGGGUCUUGUAAUUGGAAUGAGUACAAUUUAAAUCCCUUAACGAGGAACAAUUGGAGGGCAAGUCUGGGCCAGCAGCC